CUCUUCAACCCAUUUUUUCAUAUUUUCUUUCUCUCUCUUCCUCCCGUUUUCUCUCUCUUUCUUCUUCUGCAGCAUCUCCGUUUCAUAUCUUCCUCUUCUUUGCGAAUUCACCUCUUUUAAUUCGCUAGGCACACAAACAAGUAUUCAAUCUGGACAUUGGUUAUGAUAUAUGCAUCUACUUUUUUCUGAUGACUCUAUUUUCACACAUUGGCUACGAAGUUUACAAUGAGAGCAGCUGAACGGAAAAAUGCUGCUCCACUAGUACUAGUAGAUGCAUAGUCAUCAUACUCACAGUGAUGCAGCAUUGUCAUCAUGCUCGGAUAAAGAUGAGAUGAAACAUUUGGGUGUGAUGCAGUUUAUUCUGCUGGUCAACUCCGAUAACUUCAGUCAGGGUUCGGGUUGGUUCUACUACAGUUAGUCCUCAACUGUAGGUGCUACUUGGGUUGCUGUUGAAACCAAACACUCUUUAUGCUGGAGAGGCAAGUUUGCAGGGUUGCUCAAGGCUAACUAGCUCUUGAUUUAAUUACUUUUAAAUUAAAAAUGUCAACUAGGGCCAGUGAUGAUGACUUCUCUUAUUGUUGUGUUUUGUCAACUAGGACCAGUAGUAUGUAUAUGUAUUAGAGCAAUCAUGCAUAUUAACUAUCUUUAAUUUUGAAUCAAAUUGAUGAUGAAACAUAUAACUAUUUUAGUUUA